UGUGUUAUGCGGACAGUAUGAAAAUUAUUAAAAUUUGUGUCAAGAUUCAAGUUUAUAUAUACACACGGAUUUGAAAGGAAUGAAAAUUAAGUUUGGAUUGGUUUCUAAUUCACUAGGAUAGUGUGAAAGUUUGUUUCCGAUUGGAUUGUGAUUUAUUCGGUUUGCUUUUAGAUUUACACUUAUCCAUUCGGACUGAUGUGAGAUUCAUCGGUUUCAAUUAAAAAUGUCCCAUUCAUUUGAAGGAAUUGGAGGCACGGAUAAAAAAUGGAUUCCGGAUACGUUCGUGUGGAAUUUGGUGCUGACACAUGAAUGAAGAAGGAUUGAUAAAUGAGCAUCGGGUCCAUUCCGAUUGCAUUUCAGAAUGCUGAUCUUGGACACGCUACUGACCCUGGAAAUUAACCAAAGGACAGCUAAUGGACGGAAAAUAAAAAGGUCCACUAAAGCUACAAACCUCAUAAAAGAAAUAGUAAAAUUUCUGUCAAGUGAAUAGCUUUCGUCAAUAUUUAGACGCUCUCCGUUUCAAGAUCAAGAAGAAUCUGGAGAACAAGCCAAGUCCGGGGAAAAGGGCAUUAACCCGUCAGCGCCUAAUAUU